CUCGCUGAGCUGGGGAGGGAGAGAGGGAAAGAGAGCACGGUUGCUUUAAAGGAGCCAACCGGACAGGAGCCGCUUACACCCCAGAGGCUCCUCUCCUCUCCUGCUUUGCUCCUUUAAAGCAAGUGGGCUCUCCUUAUCUCCCUCCUCCCUGGCUCAGCGAG